rnacentral:rRNA from 1 species
CAGGGAAUAUUAGAAAUGGACGAAAGUCUGAUCUAGCAACACCGCGUGUGCGAAGAAGGCCUUCGGGUUGUAAAGCACUCUUUGGAAGGAUUAGGAAGGAAUGUACUUCCAGAAUAAGUCUCGGCUAACUACGUGCCAGCAGCCGCGGUAACACGUAGGAGGCAAACGUUAUCCGGAUUUACUGGGCGUAAAGCGCGUGUAGGUGGUUCUGUAAGUAGGGCGUGAAAGCUCCUGGCUCAACUGGGAGAGGCCGUUCUAAACUGCAGAGCUAGAGGAUGGUAGAGGGAGGUGGAAUUCCGGGUGUAGCGGUGAAAUGCGCAGAUAUCCGGAGGAACACCAGUGGCGAAAGCGGCCUCCUGGACCAUUCCUGACACUCAGACGCGAAAGCUAGGGUAGCAAACGG